GUCACGUUUCAGAAUGUCCUGAAAACGCAUCAGGAUGUAGUAUACAGUGGAUAUACUUCAAUGCAUGUCGUAGAAAUCAUCUGAGGAAAGUAUUUCACAAAGAAAAGUCAUUUUGAGUUUUGGGGUGAAA